rnacentral:rRNA from 1 species
UACAGAGGGUGCGAGCGUUAAUCGGAAUUACUGGGCGUAAAGCGUGCGCAGGCGGUUAUGUAAGACAGAUGUGAAAUCCCCGGGCUCAACCUGGGAACUGCAUUUGUGACUGCAUAGCUAGAGUACGGUAGAGGGGGAUGGAAUUCCGCGUGUAGCAGUGAAAUGCGUAGAGAUGUGGAGGAAUACCGAUGGCGAAGGCAGCCUCCUGGGCCAACACUGACGCUCAUGCACGAAAGCGUGGGGAGCAAACAGG